rnacentral:rRNA from 1 species
CACGUAGGGUGCGAGCGUUGUCCGGAAUUAUUGGGCGUAAAGAGCUCGUAGGCGGUGUGUCGCGUCGGCCGUGAAAACCUGCAGCUUAACUGUGGGCUUGCGGUCGAUACGGGCAUCACUGGAGUUCGGCAGGGGAGACUGGAAUUCCUGGUGUAGCGGUGAAAUGCGCAGAUAUCAGGAGGAACACCGGUGGCGAAGGCGGGUCUCUGGGCAACAACUGACGCUGAGGAGCGAAAGCGUGGGGAGCAAACAGG